rnacentral:tRNA from 1 species
GCGCUUUUAGUUCAGCUCGGUAGAACGCAGGUCUCCAAAACCUGAUGUCGUAGGUUCAAAUCCUACAGGGCGUG